CUAGUUUUCACACGCAAAUGCGCUCACCACUUUAUCAUUCCACACCUUCUAUAUAUAACUAAAUAAACAUAAAUAGUUAAGAAAUUAUUGAUUCCCAUCGCAUGAGACAUCUCUUCAAUGUCGCAUUAAACAAAAUUUCAACUGACGUGUUUCUUUCAGUUUCAGAGCUACUAAUUCCAAAGAAGUACAGGUUUUAAGUUUCAACUUUUUACUCACUUUUAACUUUUUAAUAGAUUAGAUCGAAAUUGGGUAAAUUAGCAUUUAAUGAGGGACAUUCACCGUGAAGCCACCCCUCUAAUUCAACACCUAACUAAUACCUCGCAAUAAAUCACAUUCUAAUCCUACUAAUCGCCAACAGAAAAAGCAAAACGAAAUGGAAAUGCAAAGAGAGCAGGCAGAAUGUGGGCCCCCAGCAUUUCACGAGUUUUUCCACCGCCAAUUCUAUCUAUCUGUUUAUUUUCACAAUAUAAUACUCAUGACUUCAGAUUUGGUCAAAGAACGGAAAAAUAAUUAAAUUAGGAUUAAUUAAUAUAAUAAUUACCAUCUUUUAAAGUUAAUCAACUUUACAUAACCUGCAUUUUAUGCAGCAUACUAAAAUCUAAACUACCAGAAUUCAUCUAAUAUUACAAUUUAUAAUACAUACAUACAUUUCCCACUUUGACAAAUUCAAGAUAUAUUAUUUUUUCAAUUACGCGUUUUUGAAUUACUCAGGUCACCCUUUUUAACGGAAAGGCUACAAAUCAACGGCCCACUUUCCUACUUUUCUAUCAUCCUGGUGAAAAAACACAUUCACAGACGUGGAAUCGUAGAUUAUGCCAAUUUCAGAUGAACAGAACAUGAUUAUGAUGAUAGAUGCAGAAAUGACUCCACUAAUAAGCAAGCGAAUACUGAAAUUCGAAGAUCGCACGAAUCAAUGGAUGCAAAACAGAAGAAAUUGAACGAGCCGACUCACUGCGGAAUGUGCGAUCCCGGCGCGAAGAAUCCAGAUCCGAUUUGAUAACCCGAUCGCGCAGAUCACGAUCCAAUGCCGACUGAAUUCCGAAUUCUCAGAUUUCAGUAUAAAUUACACACACAGCUCGAUGUGUGACUGCGUCCUCUCCUCAGACACAUACGAUGAUUGCACGCGCGCACACACACGGAGAGCGGCGGCGGGCGGCGGAGAGAGCGAUUUCGCAGUGGCGGUGUGUGAAUGUGUGUGAAAAUGAAAAAAAUGUGAAUUGAUUGAUGGGUUUGGCGGUGUGAAGAAGGUGUCCGAAACCAGAUCUGUUACAGUUAUAAAUAGAGAUUUAAUGAAAUAUAAAUAAAUACCAAUUUAAUUCA